rnacentral:tRNA from 1 species
AUCCCCGCUCACGCGAUGCAAACGCGACCACGAGAUUAUAAAGGAUCUCCGGGGACU